rnacentral:rRNA from 1 species
CACGUAGGCGGAUUGAUCAGUCAGGGGUGAAAUCCCGGGGCUCAACCCCGGAACUGCCUUUGAUACUGAUAGUCUUGAGUCCGAGAGAGGUGAGUGGAAUUCCUAGUGUAGAGGUGAAAUUCGUAGAUAUUAGGAAGAACACCAGUGGCGAAGGCGGCUCACUGGCUCGGUACUGACGCUGAGGCGCGAAAGCGUGGGGAGCAAACAGGAUUAGAUACCCUGGUAGUCC